AGAGUUUGAUCCUGGCUCAGGAUGAACGCUGGCGGCGUGCCUAAUACAUGCAAGUCGAGCGAACAGACGAGGAGCUUGCUCCUCUGACGUUAGCGGCGGACGGGUGAGUAACACGUGGAUAACCUACCUAUAAGACUGGGAUAACUUCGGGAAACCGGAGCUAAUACCGGAUAAUAUAUUGAACCGCAUGGUUCAAUAGUGAAAGACGGUUUUGCUGUCACUUAUAGAUGGAUCCGCGCCGCAUUAGCUAGUUGGUAAGGUAACGGCUUACCAAGGCAACGAUGCGUAGCCGACCUGAGAGGGUGAUCGGCCACACUGGAACUGAGACACGGUCCAGACUCCUACGGGAGGCAGCAGUAGGGAAUCUUCCGCAAUGGGCGAAAGCCUGACGGAGCAACGCCGCGUGAGUGAUGAAGGUCUUCGGAUCGUAAAACUCUGUUAUUAGGGAAGAACAAAUGUGUAAGUAACUAUGCACGUCUUGACGGUACCUAAUCAGAAAGCCACGGCUAACUACGUGCCAGCAGCCGCGGUAAUACGUAGGUGGCAAGCGUUAUCCGGAAUUAUUGGGCGUAAAGCGCGCGUAGGCGGUUUUUUAAGUCUGAUGUGAAAGCCCACGGCUCAACCGUGGAGGGUCAUUGGAAACUGGAAAACUUGAGUGCAGAAGAGGAAAGUGGAAUUCCAUGUGUAGCGGUGAAAUGCGCAGAGAUAUGGAGGAACACCAGUGGCGAAGGCGACUUUCUGGUCUGUAACUGACGCUGAUGUGCGAAAGCGUGGGGAUCAAACAGGAUUAGAUACCCUGGUAGUCCACGCCGUAAACGAUGAGUGCUAAGUGUUAGGGGGUUUCCGCCCCUUAGUGCUGCAGCUAACGCAUUAAGCACUCCGCCUGGGGAGUACGACCGCAAGGUUGAAACUCAAAGGAAUUGACGGGGGCCCGCACAAGCGGUGGAGCAUGUGGUUUAAUUCGAAGCAACG
rnacentral:rRNA from 1 species